GAGUUUGAUCAUGGCUCAGAUUGAACGCUGGCGGCAGGCCUAACACAUGCAAGUCGAACGGUAACAGGAAACAGCUUGCUGUUUCGCUGACGAGUGGCGGACGGGUGAGUAAUGUCUGGGAAACUGCCUGAUGGAGGGGGAUAACUACUGGAAACGGUAGCUAAUACCGCAUAACGUCGCAAGACCAAAGAGGGGGACCUUCGGGCCUCUUGCCAUCAGAUGUGCCCAGAUGGGAUUAGCUAGUAGGUGGGGUAACGGCUCACCUAGGCGACGAUCCCUAGCUGGUCUGAGAGGAUGACCAGCCACACUGGAACUGAGACACGGUCCAGACUCCUACGGGAGGCAGCAGUGGGGAAUAUUGCACAAUGGGCGCAAGCCUGAUGCAGCCAUGCCGCGUGUAUGAAGAAGGCCUUCGGGUUGUAAAGUACUUUCAGCGGGGAGGAAGGGAGUAAAGUUAAUACCUUUGCUCAUUGACGUUACCCGCAGAAGAAGCACCGGCUAACUCCGUGCCAGCAGCCGCGGUAAUACGGAGGGUGCAAGCGUUAAUCGGAAUUACUGGGCGUAAAGCGCACGCAGGCGGUUUGUUAAGUCAGAUGUGAAAUCCCCGGGCUCAACCUGGGAACUGCAUCUGAUACUGGCAAGCUUGAGUCUCGUAGAGGGGGGUAGAAUUCCAGGUGUAGCGGUGAAAUGCGUAGAGAUCUGGAGGAAUACCGGUGGCGAAGGCGGCCCCCUGGACGAAGACUGACGCUCAGGUGCGAAAGCGUGGGGAGCAAACAGGAUUAGAUACCCUGGUAGUCCACGCCGUAAACGAUGUCGACUUGGAGGUUGUGCCCUUGAGGCGUGGCUUCCGGAGCUAACGCGUUAAGUCGACCGCCUGGGGAGUACGGCCGCAAGGUUAAAACUCAAAUGAAUUGACGGGGGCCCGCACAAGCGGUGGAGCAUGUGGUCUAAUUCGAUGCAACGCGAAGAACCUUACCUGGUCUUGACAUCCACGGAAGUUUUCAGAGAUGAGAAUGUGCCUUCGGGAACCGUGAGACAGGUGCUGCAUGGCUGUCGUCAGCUCGUGUUGUGAAAUGUUGGGUUAAGUCCCGCAACGAGCGCAACCCUUAUCCUUUGUUGCCAGCGGUCCGGCCGGGAACUCAAAGGAGACUGCCAGUGAUAAACUGGAGGAAGGUGGGGAUGACGUCAAGUCAUCAUGGCCCUUACGACCAGGGCUACACACGUGCUACAAUGGCGCAUACAAAGAGAAGCGACCUCGCGAGAGCAAGCGGACCUCAUAAAGUGCGUCGUAGUCCGGAUUGGAGUCUGCAACUCGACUCCAUGAAGUCGGAAUCGCUAGUAAUCGUGGAUCAGAAUGCCACGGUGAAUACGUUCCCGGGCCUUGUACACACCGCCCGUCACACCAUGGGAGUGGGUUGCAAAAGAAGUAGGUAGCUUAACCUUCGGGAGGGCGCUUACCACUUUGUGAUUCAUGACUGGGGUGAAGUCGUAACAAGGUAACCGUAGGGGAACCUGCGGUUG
rnacentral:rRNA from 1 species